AUCUAGUGAUGUGGACAUUUAUGGAGUAGGUCCCUAAAGCACUCCCAAGUCUAGAAAAAAAGUUCCCCAUCCAUCUAUGAGAAACUUGUAAUGGCUCUUCGAAGUU